rnacentral:misc_RNA from 1 species
ACAAAAAAAAACAAAAACAACAACCAAAACAUCAAAAAGACUCAAACUUUAUCUGGAAUUCAUUGAUUUUUUCCCAGUAUAGUAAAAGGGGUUUGCAACAAAACACAAAAUUAUACAGUACCAAGACAAUACAUUUCACCAAGAUUCCUUCACCUAGGUGAGAAUCCCCUUCAAUACUAAAACCCCACUUGGGAAUUAGCUUAUUAA